CACCCGUCAGCCUGGAGACUCGGGGCAGGGCCCGCCCUCCCUCUGCAGGCUCCAGCAGGCAAGACACACACACCCCACCCGGCGGCCUGGGACGGGCGUGCUUAGCACUGGGCCGCCCCGACCCUGGGCUCAGCCAGCACACGAUGAACAUCUGAUUCACACGGAAGCAGAGGGCACUUCUCGGAAUCGGAACAUGGCCGCGGCGGAAGAGAAUACGAGUCGCAGACACCACCAGAGCCACGGGGCUAUCAGUCACUCACACUUCAGUGUGAGUCAGCUCCAGCGGGCAGCUUUUCUCCACCCUUCGCUGCGCGGGCCAAGGGAUCGAAAAGUUCGCCAACUCGCCGCCCGGGGCCUUCGGAGGUCUCGAGGCGAGAAGGCUGCGGGGUUGGCUGCGGGUGUGGACGCCAUCCCCGCACCUCACACAACAGAUGCGCAGUAAAUGCACGUGUGUGUCCUGCCCAGGGGCCCCUCAUGGCUCCACUGUGGACGGCGCUGCCCCCUCCCCCGAACCCACUGAUCCUGAUCCUGCAGGAAAAGGGGCGGUCGACUCAGAAAAUUAAGGGCAAAGUUGUACCUGCUUAUCUCAGCUCAUUUGUCAAGAGUGCUGGAAUGCCUGGCCAAUCAUUGGAAGGAGAGAGACCCUACUGCACGCCUUAUGCCAGCAUAAGUUUCAGUGAGACUACAGGCUUGACAUGCAAAGGAAAAAAAAACCCAAAACAUAUUAAAAUGAAAAUGUAGAUGGUUAUAUACUAUGGACAUGGUACAGGAUUUCUAGGUACAGUACCAAAGGUAAAAUAAUCAGCUUUUGAGUAUAUAAAGGCAAGAACCAGUCGAUAUGGUGACACACCCCAGAAGGUGACUGUCAAAAACAUAAUAGUGAAAGGAAAACUACACACUGGGAAGGAAGAGGUGGAAAAUGCAUGCGUCAACAAGGGUUAUGUACAAGGUUCUACGGUUAGUUGAAAACGGACAGAAGUAGCAAUUCAUAAAAAAAGAACUAUAUGUGACCAAUAAGAACGUAUUUAAACAUGUUCUGCUUCACUAGAGGUGUUGGAGAAGACUCUUGAGAGUCCCUUGGACUGCAAGGAGAUUCAACCAGUCAAUCCUAAAGGAAAUCAAUCCUGAAUAUUCAUUGGAAGGACUGAUGCUGAAGCUGAAGUUCCAAUACUUUGGCCUCCUGAUGGGAAACGCUGACUCCUUAGAAAAGACCCUGAUGCUGGGAAAGAUUGAAGGUGGGAGAAAGGGACGACAGAGGAUGAGAUGGCUGGAUGGCAUCACUGACUCAAUGGACAUGAGUUUGAGCAAGCUCCGGGAGAUGGUGACGGAUAGGGAAGCCUGGUGUGCUGCAGUCCAUGGGGUCGAAAAGAGUCGGACAUGACUUGACUGAACAACAACUUCACUAGUAAUUAAAUAAAUACAAAUGGGAA
rnacentral:lncRNA from 1 species